rnacentral:piRNA from 1 species
UGCCACAAUUUUGUCCCUCUCAAAAGAGGC